rnacentral:rRNA from 1 species
CCCGCUGAACUUAAGCAUAUCAAUAAGCGGAGGAAAAGAAACCAACAGGGGUUGCCUCAGUAACGGCGAGUGAAGCGGCAAAAGCUCAGAUUUGAAAGCUAGCAUCUUUGAUGUUCGCAUUGUAAUCUGUAGAGGAGUGUUCGAGCAUAGGUUUGACCCAAGUUCUUUGGAACAGGACGUCAUGGAGGGUGAGAAUCCCGUUCAUGGUUGUUGCUUUAUGCUUAUGUGAACCUCCUUCAAUGAGUCGAGUUGUUUGGGAAUGCAGCUCUAAAUGGGUGGUAUAUUUCAUCUAAAGCUAAAUAUCAGCAGGAGACCGAUAGUGCACAAGUAGAGUGAUCGAAAGAUGAAAAGAACUUUGGAAAGAGAGUCGAACAGUACGUGAAAUUGUUGAAAGGGAAGCACUUACACCCAGACUUGCUUACAGUUGAUCAAUUAUCAUUUUUGAUGGUGCACUCAAUUGUGAGCAGGCCAGUAUCAGUUAGAGUAGUGGGGCAAAGGUGUUGAGAAUGUAGCUCCUUCGGGAGUGUUACAACUCUUCAUGUCAUGUCACUUGCUUUGACUGAGGUUCGCACUUUGGUGAGGAUGCUGGCAUAAUGGGUGCAAGUGACCCGUCUUGAAACACGG